CUACAGGCUCCCACCACCACGCCCAGCUAAUUUUUUUAUUUUUAGUAGAGUCUUCUGCCUCAGCCUCCUGAGUAGCUGGGACUACAGGUGCCCGGCACCACAUCCAGCUAAUUUUUGAGUGCUGGGAUUAUAGGUGUGAGCCACCACGCCCGGCCAGGGACGUUUGAGUUUCAGGACCAGGCAGAAGCCACCCCAGGCCCUUCUCUCCUUUGCCUCUUUGUUUCAGUGUCUGGGCUCCUUGUAGUCUCUGAGGGAAGAGUCUUGGGAGAAAAUGAGAACAGAGAGG
rnacentral:lncRNA from 1 species